ACUUCUGAAAGGACGGAUCUCUAUAACAUACGUGUUAUAUAUGCUAACUUCUGAAAGGACUGAUCUCUAUAACAUACGUGUUAUAUAUGUUAACUUCUGAAAGGACGGAUCUCUAUAACAUACGUGUUAUAUAUGUUAACUUCUGUAAAGUGUUAAAACAUUUUAAACACCCCCCCUCUGGUCCCAUUACCAGACGACAUUUACAUAAUAACCAUUUUGCUUCAAUUAUUAGAAAGGAUCAUCUCUGAAAAUGCAUAUCAUUCUACUAGAGAGUCUCCUAGUCACAUGACCUUGUAGAGAACGAUACACUAACAGACUCACAGACUUUAUCUUCAUUUCCCCUUUUGAUGUCUAUGAUGUACUAAGUGCUAAGUUAAAGAGUUGAAGAAAAAAACAUAAAAUAUCCGUAGCUGAUUUACAUAAUCCCUUUUUACUCUCUGCACCACUUAUCACAGAACCACUGACCGAUAUAUUUUAACUUGACAGUUGUUUCUGGUGUUGUCCUUAUGAUCUGUAAAGCAGGACAUGUCCUCCCCUACAUAAAGGAGGCCUUCUGACUUACAUAACUAUCCAACAAUUAGAAAAUGAUCUUGCCUUCACAAAGUACUAGAAUCCCUGGACAACUAACUGUCAACUAAGAACAUCUUUAACUUCCCACUCUAUUCUUAAUGUGAACCAAUCAGGUUUUAGAAUCCCAUCUAUUCUUAAUGUGAACCAAUCAGGUUUUAGAAUCCCAUCUAUUCUUAAUGUGAACCAAUCAGGUUUUAGAAUCCCAUCUAUUCUUAAUGUGAUCAAAUCAGGUUUUAGAAUCUCAUCUAUUCUUAAUGUGAACCAAUCAGGUUUUAGAAUCCCAUCUAUUCUUAAUGUGAACCAAUCAGGUUUUAGAAUCCCAUCUAUUCUUAAUGUGAACCAAGCAGGUUUUAGAAUCCCAUCUAUUCUUAAUGUGAACCAAUCAGGUUUUAGAAUCCCAUCUAUUCUUAAUGUGAACCAAUCAGGUUUUAGAAUCCCAUCUAUUCUUAAUGUGAACCAAUCAGGUUUUAGACCUGGACAGAGCACAACAUUCCUUGCAUUUUGUUUCCCUGGAGCCUCUAGUGCAGGUCAGGACUCUGGUGUUGAAUUAUUUCAAUGAAGAUUGUAUUUUACCCCUUUUUUCUCCACAAUUUCGAUCUUGUCUCAUUGCUGCAACUCCCCAAUGGGCUCGGGAGGCAAAGGUUGAGUCACGUGUCCUCUGAAACAUGACCCACCAAACCACGCUUCUUAAAACCCGGAAGCCAGCCGCACCAAUGUGUCCGAGGAAAUACUAUUUAACUGACGACCGGGUUAGCCUGCAGGCGCCCGACCCGCCACAAGGAGUCACUAGAGCGCGAUGAGCCAUGUAAAGCCCCCCGGCCAAACCCUCCCCUCACCCGGACAGACGACGCAAGCCUAUUGUGUGCCAUUCUACGGGGACUCAUAUAAACAUAUAUGCAAGUUUUAUUUAUUUUUAAAUGAAAACCUCAUUAAAUAUGUGCUAUUAUGUAAAUGACGAGAAUCCGUUUUUCAACACAUUGCUUCAAGGCAGAAUAUUGUUAUUUUGUUCUAUUGUGAGACACUCAAUGGUCAGACUUUUACAGAACAGUUUAUCAAAAUAUAGUAAAUAUAUUUUGCAUAUAUUUUACAGUCAUAGCUAUGUCAUAUGUCAUAACAGCUGACAUAAAGAGCGUCUGCUAAAUGACUUAAAUGUAAAUGUAAAUAAUUUGUCAUAACCUGUCAUAAUAUGGUCACAACACUGUCAUGACACAUAUAUUUAGACCUGUUUGUGACAGUUAUUUUAUGGCUACACCUACAUAAGAGUCAGAACCCACAGAACCUACCACUGUAGAUAUUUUAUGAUUGGUUAUGACACCUACAUAAGAGUCAGAACCCACAGAACCUACCACUGUAGUUAUUUUAUGGUUGGUUAUGACACCGACAUAAGAGUCAAAACCCACAGAACCUACCACUGUAGUUAUUUUAUGGCUGGUUAUGACACCUACAUAAGAGUCAAAACCCACAGAACCUACCACUGUAGAUAUCAGUAAGCCAAUACGAGAAGAGCAGUGACAGAAAGAAAACAUUUGCCUGAUUAGCGGGGUCGAGACAGUGGCAGUACAGGUAGAGGAGGAAAAGCAGGUAGCCGGCAGCAGCGCGUCGAGAUGUAAAUUAGUCGAGGUGAAGAUGACAGUUAGCAACGAUCUACCAGACAGCAGCCAGUCAACAGUUGCUUUUAUUCCACGUCACAAAUAAACCAACUUGUAUGUGAUUUGAUUUGCCCUAAGUGUCUAAACGCUGGACUGAAAAUCCCCAUAGAGCACACGGAAGGUAAUCGUGAUGCAUUUAGGAGGAGUGUUUACACUUCCUCCAGGCUGCAGGAGUGCUCCAGGGGAGAUGGGGCAUUUAAUGUAAAUGUGAGGAUGGUUCUUUUAGCCCACCAACACGGUCUUGGUUCUGCAGCUCUAAAGAAAAUAAGCAAGUCCUAUGGAUUCCUUCCUUCUCAGCUCAUAUCAGAGACCUGACAGGAGAGUGACAGGUCAUUAAAAGGGAGAGUAGCCCAUUAUUGUCAGGUGCAGACUACAGACACCCUGGUUCGAUUCCAGGCUGUAUCACAAACGGCCGUGAUUGGGAGUCCCAUAGGACUUGCCUAGUUAAAUAAAGGAUCAAUAAAAAAAAUUGUUAUAACCGUGUCAUAACAUGUUAGGACACUGGGUGUCAAGUGAAGUGUUACCAAUAAUUUCGUACGUAAAAAGAUAAGAUGUGUAUGCACCCAGUGCCCAAGGAAGCAGAGGUAACCUGCCUAAAUGAUUAACGCCCCGUAGCACUCACUUCGGUAGCCAUGAAGUGCUUUGAAAGGCUGACUCACAUCAACAGUAUCCUCCAGGAAACCCAAGACCCACUCCAAUUCGCAUAUCGCCCCAACAGAUCCACAGAUGUCACAAUCUCAAUCACACUCCACACUGCCCUUUCACACCUGGAAAAAAGGAACACCUAUGUGAGAAUGCUGUUCAUUGACUACAGCUCAGUGUUCAACAACAUAGUGCCCUCAAAGCUCAUUAAUAAGCUAAGGACCCUGGGACUAAACACCUCCCUCUGCAACUGGAUCCUGGACUUCCUGAAGGGCCGCCCCCAGGCGUUAAGGCAACAACACGACUGCUACGCUGAUCCUCAACACAGGGGCCGCGCAGGGGUGUGUACUUUUUAUUUUUCGUAUUUUUUAUUUAAUCUUUUUUUAACCAGGUGGACCAGUUGAGAACAAGUUCUCAUUUACAACUGCGACCUGGCCAAGAUAAAGCAAAGCAGUGCGACAAAAAUGACAACACAGAGUUACACAUGGGAUAAACAAACGUACAGUCAAUAACACAAUAGAAAAAGUCUAUGUACAGUUUGUGCAAAUGUAGUAAAAUUAGGGAAGUAAGGAAAUAAAUAGGCCAUAUAGCUUCCAGCUUCAGUGAUUUUUGCAAUUCGUUUCCAUCAUUGGCAGCAGAAAACUGGAAGGAAAGGCGGGCAAAGGAGGUGUUGGCUUUGGGGAUGACCAGUGAAAUAUACCUGCUGGAGCGCGUGCUACGGGUGGGUGUUGCUAUGGUGACCAGUGAGCUGAGAUAAGGCGGCAUACUUAGUACCGGUAUACUUGAUAAUUAGUCCCCUCCUGUUCUCCCUGUUCACCCAUGACUGCCUGGCCAAACAUGACUCCAGCACCAUCAUUAAGUUUGCUGACGACAUAACAGUGGUUGGCCUGAUCACCGACAACGAUGAGACAGCCUAUAGGGAGGAGGUCAGAGAACUGGCAGUGUGGUGCCAGAACAACAACCUCUCCCUCAAUGUGAGCAAGACAAAGAAACUGAUCGUGGAAUACAGGAAAAGGUGGACCGAAACAGGCCCCCAUUAACAUCAACGGGGCUGAAGAGGGCACGACAAAACAUUUACCCCGCCAGGAGACUGAAAAGAUUUGGCAUGGGUCCCCAGAUCCUCAAAAAGUUCUACAGCUGCACCAUUGAGAGCAUCCUGACCGGUUGCAUCACCGCCUGGUAUGGCAACUGCUCUGCAUCUGACGAAUGGACUCUUGGAAAGCCCCUUGGUAACUUGAGUAUGGUAACAUCAAAAGGUUAGGAACCUAACAUUAUUUUGGCAAUCCAACCAGUUGAAAGUGUCCGUUGGUACUUAAAAAAUGUGAUGUCAGAUCAGUUGUCGUCUGAGACAUUAUUAAUGAUGAUAGGACAACAUAAACUGUAUCUUGGAAAGUCUACACGUUCUAGUUAUCAGAUUCACAUGGAAUUGUUGUGCAAUUUAAAUGUUUAAAUAUGAAACUAUUUGUGAAAAGAUGAAAUGUAAUUUUAGCUUCUAAAUGAGAGACUUGUUUUCAUAAGUGAACUAUGCUCACACAGUGGCCCCGCUCAAGUGAACAGGCAUUGGUUGUGAACUAUGAAACACGCCCUUCUCUCCCCCAUGACAAAUGCCCAAUGACGAAAGUCAACCUCUUAUGUUCCCGAUGACAUGAGGACUGCUGUCCAUAGUUUAAAAAGGGCAAAUUUCAACGUGGAGGUGACAAUCGACACGCUGAAGGGAUGAAUUUCAACUUUACCAGCCAGAAUAUAGCAUGAGCUUAUGGUAUUGCAACUUGGUAUGAACUUUGAACUCUUGUUCACUAAAGAUGUGAUACAUCCUGGCCGUCGCGUUAUCAGCAGCAGCUGAAUGACAGGGUACUACAUCGAAUCCGUUCUACCACCGAAAGACAGGGUACUACAUCGUAUCCGUUCUACCACCAGACGAACGACUACAACGUAUCUGCUCAGAAAUACUCUUCAAAGGACAAGGGAGAUCUCUGCUGUGCAACCUAGCCUUCCAUCUUCGACCAAUCUAUCGAAGCGCUGCUCAGAGUAAAUAUAUUUCUUGAAUUUUCCUUUUCCGAAUGGGCAGUUAUUUAGAAUGCAUACAAUUCUGUAUUUACGAUAGCAUAGCUUCAUAAGAUCAGAUAGAGACCCAAUCCUUUUGUUUCUCAGUCUUCACGCACUUUCAUUCAAACCCAACCCCCUUUCUUUGUGUAACCAGCCGUCAUAUCGGUUUCGUCCACUAGGGAUGUUUCCUUUUAUGACAUAAUUAGUCGUCAAUGUAUGAUCCAUCCUGUGUAUAUGUAAUUCUGUGGGACUAU